UUAACUGAAACCAAAAAGAGGUAUAUUACUGUUAAUAAUACAAUUGAAUUAUAUUCCAGUUAAG
rnacentral:tRNA from 1 species